UGGGGAAUUUUGGACAAUGGGCGCAAGCCUGAUCCAGCCAUGCCGCGUGCGGGAAGAAGGCCUUCGGGUUGUAAACCGCUUUUGUCAGGGAAGAAAUCUUCUGAGUUAAUACCUCGGGAGGAUGACGGUACCUGAAGAAUAAGCACCGGCUAACUACGUGCCAGCAGCCGCGGUAAUACGUAGGGUGCAAGCGUUAAUCGGAAUUACUGGGCGUAAAGCGUGCGCAGGCGGUUUUGUAAGACAGAGGUGAAAUCCCCGGGCUCAACCUGGGAACUGCCUUUGUGACUGCAAGGCUUGAGUGCGGCAGAGGGGGAUGGAAUUCCGCGUGUAGCAGUGAAAUGCGUAGAUAUGCGGAGGAACACCGAUGGCGAAGGCAAUCCCCUGGGCCUGCACUGACGCUCAUGCACGAAAGCGUGGGGAGCAAACAGGAUUAGAUACCCUGGUAGUCCACGCCCUAAAACGAUGUCAACUGGUUGUUGGGAAGGUUCCUUCUCAGUAACGUAGCUAACGCGUGAAGUUGACCGCCUGGGGAGUACGGCCGCAAGGUUGAAACUUAAAUGAAUUGACGGGGUCAUAGCUGUUUCCUG
rnacentral:rRNA from 1 species